GAAGACGACGAGGUAGAUAGGGCAGAGGUGGAAGUGUGGCAACACAUGGAGCUGACUGUUACUAAUAGGUCGAGGGCAUAACCAA
rnacentral:rRNA from 1 species